rnacentral:lncRNA from 1 species
UGUCAUUCAAGUUCCUGAGCUGAAGAAAAAUGGACACUUCCUUCUCCCGGCGAAAAGGGGAUCCCCAGUCUGAUGCUCUUACCCGGAAGGCCUUUCCACUGGGGCUGAGCUCUAGCCAAACUGAGCUGUUUCCGCACAUGCAGAGGCUGCAGGAAAGCAAAGUGACCAAGAUCCCAGGCGUGGCAUCAGGCUGCCUGGCUGUCAGCCCUGCCUCUGUCAUUUGCUAGGUGGUCUGCUGACUGUUGGUGGGGGGAACACUGGCCCUCAAGCAAAGUGGACACAACAUUACUGCUAAAGUCAAACAGAAGAGCAGACGGGAGAGGGAAAGCAACAGAUCUGAGCUUCAUGCCUAACUUUAUCACCUGGAAGUCUCUGAGCCUACACAUAUCACUGUCUGCACACGCCUCUGUUCAUCAGCAUCUCCAACCCCAGAGGCAGCUGUUCAUCUUCCUGAGGUCUUUCUAUCUCCUAGAUAGAGACUGAACCCUGGGAAGCCAUGUUCUACUUGUAAUAAAUAGAACUUAACCUGAAAAUAAGAGA